AUCCAGUUGACGAAUCCUAAAUAGGACGAAACGCGCGUCAAACUAGAU
rnacentral:hammerhead_ribozyme from 1 species